UUUCUUCAACCUCUGGUCCACUCCAGGCAGCAGCGCUGAAGCUUCCCCACCCAUGUGCCCCAGCCCUCGACAUGGACAGACCCCCUCUGAGGAUGAGGAGGUAGCUCAGUCUCCACCAUCCUUGGCAGCUUGGCGCAAACUGUCAGCAUGUUUUAUGGCUGACAGCGACAGUGGGAACCAGGCUGAGACCCACCACACUCCUUUCCUAUAAGCCAGUGAACAGCCAUCAGUGACUUGUGGUGUCUUUUGCUUGGGCUGGAUGUCAGUGGCUGACCUAGCAGUGAAAGGGGCUUUAUCUCCUUACCAAUCCGUGAGCCUUUCUGCAAUGGAGACAAGGCCCUUCAGUGGGAUGAUUUUGGAGGGCUGGAUCUUACCCUGGAGUACCUUGACUCUCUAAUAUCCUGGGACUGACACAGCUACAAUAACACUGCAUGCUAGCACGGAAUGAAUGAAACUUGAGCCUACCUGACAUCAGAAUACCAGCCCUAGGGCCACUGCGGGUAGAAGGUUCCUUUUGUUUGAUCACUCUCCUGACAGUGUGUAUCAUAAAACCCAUUGUUUCAUGUUCUCUGUGUGUGUGUGUCAAUCUCCCCUCUGUAUUUUCCACCGAAUGCAUCCGAUGGGGUGGGCUGUAGCUCGCGAAGGCUUGUGCUCUAGUGGAUUUGUUAGUCUCUAGGGUGCCACAAGUACUCCUUUUCUUUUUGCGAAUACAGACUAACACGGCUGCUACUCUGAAACAUGCAUAACAAAGCUUUUCAGAAGUGUUU